CUGAAAGGUUCUUUGAAACGACGAGUUAUAAAAAUGUAGUGUCUUGGAAUAUAAUGUUGGCGGGAUUUUCUUUUUUAUUUUUAUUAUUUUUACUAUAUAUAUAUGUGUGUGUGGGAUCAUUUUUUAAAUAAAUAUUUAUGUGGUAGUAACGUGGGCACGUGUGUAGUGCACCUCCCUUUGUGAGAGUGGUAAUAUAUUUUUAGAGGGG
rnacentral:lncRNA from 1 species